GACUCAUAUCAUUUGCCGAAUUUCAAGCAUUUGAAGGACUUCUCUGUGUACCAGAUGCUCUGUAUAAAACAGCUUUUCGACUCUUUGAUACUAAUGGAAAUGGAAUGGUUGCAUUUGAAGAAUUCGUUGAGGUAAUGCGAAAAACUGUACUUUCAUCAAAAAUGCCCUUUAAUAUGGAUAGUAGUUUUAUCAAACUUUAUUUUGAAAAGAUAAGAAAAGACUGAUUAGCUAUGCAGAGUUUAGUCAGUUUUUGCAUGACUUUCAUGAAGAAUAUGCGACAGAAGCCUUUAAAAAAUUUGAUAAGGAUGGCGCAGGUUUCAUAUCAGCGUUAGACUUUCAAGACAUCAUGCUCAGUAUUAAGAGUCAUUUACUCACUAAAGAUGUGAAGGAUAAUCUAAUUGCUGCAGUUGGUGCCGGCCAAAGCGGACGGAAAGUCAUUUUCCAUACUUUAUGGCAUUCAAUUCUCUCCUAAACAAUAUGGAACUUAUUAAACGUAUC